rnacentral:rRNA from 1 species
GUUGUAUAGUCAAGUAAUUAAGUGCAUGUGGUGGAUGCCUUGGCAGUCAGAGGCGAUGAAAGACGUGAUAGCCUGCGAAAAGCUCCGGGGAGGCGGCAAAUAUCCUUUGAUCCGGAGAUGUCUGAAUGGGGGAACCCACCUACUUUAAGGUAGGUAUUGCAACAUGAAUACAUAGUGUUGCAAGGCGAACGAGGGGAAGUGAAACAUCUCAGUACCCUUAGGAAAAGAAAUCAAUUGAGAUUCCCUCAGUAGCGGCGAGCGAACGGGGAUCAGCCCAUUAAGUUAUGUGUGUUUUAGUGGAACGCUCUGGGAAGUGCGAACAUAGAGGGUGAUAUUCCCGUACACGAAAGGGCACACAUAAUGAUGACGAGUAGGGCGAGGCACGUGAAACCUUGUCUGAAUAUGGGGGGACCAUCCUCCAAGGCUAAAUACUCCUGACUGACCGAUAGUGAACCAGUACCGUGAGGGAAAGGCGAAAAGAACCCCUGUGAGGGGAGUGAAAUAGAUCCUGAAACCGCAUGCAUACAAGCAGUGGGAGCACCUUCGUGGUGUGACUGCGUACCUUUUGUAUAAUGGGUCAGCGACUUAUAUUCAGUAGCGAGGUUAACCGUAUAGGGGAGCCGUAGAGAAAUCGAGUCUUAAUAGGGCGUUUAGUUGCUGGGUAUAGACCCGAAACCAGGCGAUCUAUCCAUGAGCAGGUUGAAGGUUGGGUAACACUAACUGGAGGACCGAACCCACUGUCGUUGAAAAGCCAGGGGAUGACUUGUGGAUAGGGGUGAAAGGCUAAUCAAGCCUGGUGAUAGCUGGUUCUCCCCGAAAGCUAUUUAGGUAGCGCCUCGGACGAAUACCAUAGGGGGUAGAGCACUGUUUCGGCUAGGGGGUCAUCCCGACUUACCAAACCGAUGCAAACUCCGAAUACCUAUGAGUACUAUCCGGGAGACAGACUGCGGGUGCUAACGUCCGUAGUCAAGAGGAAAACAAUCCAGACCGCCAGCUAAGGCCCCAAAAUCAUAGUUAAGUGGGAAACGAUGUGGGAAGGCAUAGACAGCUAGGAGGUUGGCUUAGAAGCAGCCACCCUUUAAAGAAAGCGUAAUAGCUCACUAGUCGAGUCGGCCUGCGCGGAAGAUGUAACGGGGCUAAAACUAUGUGCCGAAGCUGCGGAUGUAUACUUUGUAUACGUGGUAGGGGAGCGUUCUGUAAGCCGAUGAAGGUGUGUUGAGAAGCAUGCUGGAGGUAUCAGAAGUGCGAAUGCUGACGUGAGUAACGACAAAACGGGUGAAAAACCCGUUCGCCGAAAGACCAAGGGUUCCAGUCCAACGUUAAUCGGGGCUGGGUGAGUCGACCCCUAAGGCGAGGCCGAAAGGCGUAGUCGAUGGGAAAAUGGUUAAUAUUCCAUUACUUCUGUGUAAUGCGAUGAGAGGACGGAGAAGGCUAAAUCAGCCUGGCGUUGGUUGUCCAGGUGAAAGGAUGUAGGCAUGUAUCUUAGGCAAAUCCGGGGUACUCUAUGCUGAGAUCUGAUAGCAAGCUGUACUUGUACAGCGAAGUGGUUGAUGCCAUGCUUCCAGGAAAAGUCUCUAAGCUUCAGUUACACAGGAAUCGUACCCGAAACCGACACAGGUGGUCAGGUCGAGUAGACCAAGGCGCUUGAGAGAACUCUGCUGAAGGAACUAGGCAAAAUGGUACCGUAACUUCGGGAGAAGG